rnacentral:rRNA from 1 species
GUCUAGGGCCACACCACACUGAACACAGCUGAUAUCCUCUGAUCUCGGAAGCUAAGCAGGGUCGGGCCUGGUUAGUACUUGGAUGGGAGACCGCCUGGGAAUGCCGGGUGCUGUAGGCU